UACAGAGGUCCCGAGCGUUGUUCGGAUUCACUGGGCGUAAAGGGUGCGUAGGUGGUAGGGUAAGUCGGAUGUGAAAUCUCGGAGCUCAACUCCGAAACUGCAUUGGAAACUACCCAACUUGAGGGUCGGAGGGGGGACUGGAAUUCUCGGUGUAGCAGUGAAAUGCGUAGAUAUCGAGAGGAACACCAGUGGCGAAGGCGAGUCCCUGGACGACUCCUGACACUGAGGCACGAAAGCUAGGGGAGCAAACAGG
rnacentral:rRNA from 1 species